rnacentral:lncRNA from 1 species
GGCUAAUAAAACUUAACCACCUAGCUUGUGGGAAAAUGAUUCUGUGCUCAGUGAGGAAGUGCUUUCAAGACCAUCUGGCGCCGAGUGGUGGAGUGGUGCUGUCGUAGAAGCUGCGAUGGUGUGUUAAUUCUCUCUCCCUCUUUCUACCCUCGUGAAACUGAGAUCCUUGAGGGUAGGACCUACGUCUGCCUUAUGUAUCCUGAACCUACCCGAGAUGAGAGAGUCACAGGAAGGGAGAGAAAUUCUACGUUGGCAGCACUGUUCACACGUGAACAAGCAAAGCCACCACUCCUUGCUGGAGGAAUUCUGGGGGCUGCACAGUGAGGGUGCC